rnacentral:tRNA from 1 species
AAUGGUUGGGAUAGCUCAGUUUGAAGACGCCGGACUGAAUAA